rnacentral:pre_miRNA from 1 species
UUUUUUUCCGUGUCCAAAGUUUGACCAUUCGUCUUAUUUAAAAAAUUUAUAAAAAAACUUAAAAAAAUAGUCAUAUAUAAAGUACUAUUUUAUCAUCUAGUAACAAUAAAAAUAUUAAUCGCAAAAAAAUUCAAAUAAGAUAAAUGGUCAAACGUUGGACACGAAAAAAC